rnacentral:misc_RNA from 1 species
CGCCGCUUAGCGGGUUUGCACUUCAAAGACUGACAAUCCUCGGUGGACUCCGCCACCUCCAGCAUCUGCUCCGGCGAAUCACAUUGCGGGCUCUGCGCAAUGCUAAAGAAUCAUGCUUUGCACAGGAAGAAUAGAUGGUUUAUGUUGAGAGUUGCUUUGCAAUUGAGAGUUGAAGCAUCAAGGAAGAAGGAUGAACUUGGGGAAAUUGGGCAGC